UGACUCUAAUCUUAGGACCAGGGCAUAUUCCUUUCACUGGCUCUGAUUCUAGGGAUAAAAAUGUGUUUCUUUGACACUGGUUUCAGAGUCAAAGCAUGUUUCUCUGGUGGUGGGUUCAAGGAUAAAGAUGUUUCUUUCCCUGGCUCAGGUCUCAAUUACAGGGUGCAUUUCUUUUACUGGCUCUGGGUUCAGAGUCAGGAUGAUCAGUGAUUGGUUGGUUUCCUGCUCAGGGAUUGGUUGAUUCAGUUGGUCAGUUGGUCAGUUGAUGGGGCAGAGAUGGUUUCCUGCUCCAGUUGGUCCUUUUACUCUACAUUCUCUUUGUUUCUAUUUUAUUAGUUUCAGUCCUCAAUUUGAUUAUUUCUUGCCAUCAACUUCUUCUGGGAAAUGAAGCUGAAGUCUCUUACCAAGAUGAUAGAGAUCCAGUUCCAGUCCGAGCCGGAAGCAGAACUGUGUGCUGGGAUUAAAGGCGUGCGCCACCAC